UACAGAGGUCCCGAGCGUUGUUCGGAUUCACUGGGCGUAAAGGGUGCGUAGGUGGCUUGGAAAGUUUGAUGUGAAAGCUCAGGGCUUAACCCUGAAAUGGCAUUGAAUACUGCCGGGCUGGAGGUUUGCAGGGGAGACUGGAAUUCCUGGUGUAGCGGUGGAAUGCGCAGAUAUCAGGAGGAACACCGGUGGCGAAGGCGGGUCUCUGGGCAGUAACUGACGCUGAGGAGCGAAAGCGUGGGGAGCGAACAGG
rnacentral:rRNA from 1 species